rnacentral:lncRNA from 1 species
GGAAAGCCAUGCACAGGGGUCACAAAAAGUCUUACGGUUGAAGCUGCAUGUUUGUGACAAGUCUGAUUAACAUUGGUUCAUAGGAAGCAAAAUCAGUGGGGACUGAGGAGAAGGUGAAACCUUCUCUGUGUAGGCAAGCAGGCAAAAAGGAAUAAAUGUUCCCAUCCUGGUCAAAAGGAAUAAAAAUAUUCCCAACAUUGCUAUAUCCAAGCUAUUAGAUGGUAUGAUUAGAAAGCAUUGUUCUUGUUAAGAUGUAAAUUCAUCCAUCAUGACAAAGAAGGUGAUCCUUUUGUAAUUCUUCUUGAAAAAAAUAGAAUGGAUUGAAUUUCAAUCAAUUUGGGAAUACAGGGACGUCAACAACACUAACUGUGUAUACAUAC